rnacentral:misc_RNA from 1 species
UGAGUAACUUUACCGCGGCACAAGUUUCAUCCGCUUUCAAGCCGUGCAGUAAAAUAGACUUAAAUGACAUCAUAGACGCUCACCCUUCUGUAUCCCACGCACAACAUGUCGGGCGGCAAUGAUGGAGCAUCGUGGCGGCUGUCUCGCAAGCCCAAUGCUCCCAACUUUGACGAGACACAGGAGGAUCAGUGGAGGUCGUUGAGGGAAGAGGUGCUUCAGUCUGAUGAGGACGAGAAUAUCCCGGAGUCCGGCGACCUUACUAUUCCACAGCUCCCCUCAGCGAAGAAAGCAGCGAAAAAACUGAGAAAGCCCCCAUCGGGUGCAAAACCGACCCCAAAGCCGAAGCAGCAGACUCUUGCCCAGUCUAUGAGCGACAUGGACAUGGAGCGCUUGUUGAAGCGAUACCGCAUUGACGAGGAUAUCGAUAUCGCAGAGGACAUCGACAUGUCACACCUGCUGCAGCUCCACAGUGAUUCCGACGAUGGCGGCGAUGCGCAAGAGGCUACUCUGACCGCCGACGAGUUCCUAGCGAGACUGGCGAGGGCAGAGGCAGCGCCGGCAGCGAGCAUUGCCAAGGAAAAGCGCGAGAGCGGAGAGAACGUGACUGUGGUUGCACUGAAAGAUGAGUUCUUCAAUGUUGAAAGAGACCAAAGUGCAAAGCCGCCUCGCCCAAGGCCAACACCAGGAGCAGGCGGUGGUGCGGGAUACCGAAAUGAGGAAACGCCAAAGCAAGCCAUUGAGCUUACCGCAACGUUGGCACCACAGAUGGACGCUGCGCAGUUCGUGUCGCCAGCGGUGCCAUACAAGUCGGGGGAAAUGACUGAAGGCCUUUUUUACUGGUUCGAUGCUCGUGAGCAACCUCACACACUUUCCGUCGACCCUGGAUCGCUGUUUCUCUUUGGGAAGAUGGCGGUGGAGAAGAACGGGCGCACCUCCUACCUAUCGUGCUGCGUGCGCGUGCGCAACAUGUACCGCAGCGUUUUUGUUCUACCGAAAGCGGGCUCCUCGCAGGAGGAUGUCGUGAAGGAAAUCAACGACAUCUGCCGCAACCAGGGAAUAGAGCAGCGGCGCAUCAAAUUUGUGGAGCGCUACUACGCUUUUGAGGUGCCAGGCGUUCCCCACGAAAAGACGCAAUGGGCGAAACUGCGAUAUCCUGGCCGCUACCCACCACUGAAUGCGAAGGGGCCGUUUCGCCAUAUUCUGAUCAUCAUGGGCGCUUCCUCGUCCCUACUGGAGCUAUUUUUGAUCAAGCGAAAGUUGAAAGGGCCCAGCUUUCUGCGCAUCAGCGGCCUUGUCGCGUCGGCGAAUCGCAUUUCGCACUGCGCUCUUGAGUUUAGUGUCGAGUCCCCGAAGAACCUUCGCGCAGAGGACACAAAGCUACCGGUUCCACCGUUUACGCUGGCAAGCAUUCAGAUACAUACCCAGCUCGACAGCAAAGGCGCCUGCAACGAGAUUCUCAUCGCAUCAGUUGCCAUCUACAAAGACGUCAACAUCGAGAACACGAUCCGCUACAUUCCUGACAAUAUUCUGACUGGCGUGCGCCCUGCCUCAAUGAGCACCCCUCUGCCGAUCGACCUGGAAAGCUACUGCAGCGCCAAAGGUCUACCCGGCGUGCGCCGCUUUGCCAACGAGCGCGCACUGCUCGACUGGCUCGCACAGCAACUCGGCAAGAUCGAUGCAGACAUGAUGAUUGGCCACAACUUUCUGGGCUUCACACUGGAUAUACUUCUCCGUCGAUACCAGGAGCUGAGCAUCUCGUCGUGGUCCACCAUUGGCCGCCUGGACCUGAAACGACUGCCGCGCUUCCAGGGAACCGCCACUAACGUGAAUCAGGAAAAAGAGACGUGCAUUGGGCGCCUUGUCGUGGACUCCUACUCACUCUCGCGCGAGCACUACAAGACGGUGAAUUACAGGCUGCUGUCGCUUGCAGACCAGAUGCAGCUGCAGGGGAUUACGAAGGGCAGCAACAACUUCGAGCCUGGCACCUCGGUGCUCACACCUGCGAUGCUGUCGGCAUCGCGCGACAUCUACGAUGUGCUGCUGCAGGUGUGCAACUGCGCUGUGUUGUCCACAGCGGUCGUCUCACAUCUCGAUGUGAUUCGACUGACCAAGCGCCUCACCACGAUUGCAGGAAACCUGUGGAGCCGUACUCUCUUCGGUGCCCGCUCCGAGCGCAUCGAGUACCUCCUGCUGCACACGUUCCACGACCUCAAGUUCAUUACCCCUGAUCGCUAUGUGCAGAACUUCAAGCGGGGCCGCGACGACGAGGAGGAGGAGGAUGGGAAGCGGAAGGCCAAGUACCAAGGCGGCAUGGUGCUCGACCCCAAGUGCGGCCUUUACUCGGAUUACAUUCUCCUCCUCGACUUCAACUCCCUGUACCCGUCGCUGAUUCAGGAGUUCAACAUUUGCUUCACCACCGUCGAUCGCGAAAGUGGGAGCGAGAUUGACGUACCACCACCAGAGAACCUCAUCUGUGCUUCGUGCGCCGCAGCAGGCCUCUCCGCUCCGUGCUUGCACAAGUGUGUGCUGCCGAAGGUGAUCAAGAGUCUCGUAGACAGCCGUCGCGAGGUGAAGCGGUUGAUGAAGAUAGAGAAGGACGCGAACAACCUGGCGCUGCUGGAGAUUCGCCAGAAGGCGCUGAAGCUGACGGCAAACAGCAUGUACGGCUGCCUCGGCUUCGAGUACUCACGCUUUCACGCUCAGCCGCUCGCCGAGCUUGUCACGCGGCAAGGCCGUCUGGCUCUGCAGAGCACGGUAGACCUCAUCCCCCAGCUGAACCCUUCCCUGCGCGUGAUAUACGGCGAUACCGACUCCGUCAUGAUCCAGACGGGAAUCAAGAACGACAUCAAGGCUGUCAGGGACCUCGGACUAGACCUGAAGGCAAAGAUCAACAAGCGCUACCAAAGCCUCGAGAUCGACAUUGAUGGCGUCUUUCGCGCUAUUCUGCUGCUGAAGAAGAAAAAGUACGCCGCACUGACGGUGACGGACUGGCAGGGCGAGGGCAAGACAUACAAGAAAGAGGUGAAGGGGCUCGAUAUGGUGCGGCGUGAUUGGUGCCCGCUCUCAAAGUGUGUGUGCGACUCGGUGCUGAGUCGCGUGCUGAACGCGGAGGGCAGCGAGGACAUUCUGGACUACGUCAUGAACUACAUGCGGGAUGUGUCGGAGAAGGUGCGGGCCGGGCGCUACACGCUCGACAACUUUGUCAUCUCGAAGAGCUUGACGAAGGAGCCGGAGGCGUACCGUGGCAACAGCUUUCCUCACGCCACUGUUGCGCUGCGGAUGAAGCAGCGGAAGGAGCUGGUGCGCGUCGGUGACCUGAUCCCGUAUGUCAUCUGCACCGGCGACCGGCUGAGCGACAAGGCGUUUCAUGUGGAGGAGGUGCGGCAGAACAGCCAGUUGCAAAUCGACUCGGAGUGGUAUCUGUCCGUGCAGAUCUAUCCCCCAGUCAUGCGCCUGUGCGAGCACAUUCAGGGCUUCUCAAACGCGCAGCUGAGCGAGGCAAUGGGGAUCGCCUGCCACACCGGCGCCAAGCUGGAGGAAGAAGAGGCGGAAACGAUGAACGACUUCUCGCACAGCUCCCUCUUUCAGAGUCGAAAGUUAGAGGAGUGCUUCCCAGCAGCCCUGUCGCUGCAGGUGGCAUGCACACAUUGCCGCCUCAUGACCCCAAUCAAUCCGCACACGCGCGUGAUGGAGGUGCUCGCUGACCAGGAAAGGCAACGAGACCGGUUUGACCUGUACGUGUGCGUCAGCUGCCGCAAGUCGCUGCCGGUAGACUACGUCGCCAACUGCUUCACCCAGACGUGCUACGGCAUUAUCCGGCAGUUUUACCAGUGCGGCGGCAGCGCGGCUGCCGUCAAGGCAGUGCGAACACAGUUCACGUACUACCGCGCGCUGUUUGAUGUGCCGCACGCGCCAGGCUGCCCGGCGCGGGUGAAGGAUGCCCACUACUACCAAGCGCGCCGCUGCCUCGGCGUGGAUCGCCGGCUGUACACGUUAGCGGAGGCGGCAGACCCGGCGGUACAGGAGGUGGCCGACCCAGUCGACCCCCUCAACGCUGCUGCGGAGACUAUAUACAAGCGCAUCGACCACCUGUUCAUAAAUCUCGACUCCCUCUUCGCCGGCAUCUAAUUCGUCCGCGCCGCCUUCUCGCCGCUUCAUUCGUGCGAGGAGGGCACAAGGAACGGGCAGGCAGACGUGGAGAACGAGGUGGACGGACACACUGUGAGCGGUGCAGCUGCCUGGGGAGGUAGGGGUCGAGCUGGGAGGGUCUCCGCUUUUCUUUGCUGAGGCUCUACGUGGAGCAAGUCGGCUAUUCUAUGCUGUUCUUGUUUCCAUUUUGCAUGUGCUCGCCUGCGUGUGCGUGUAUCAAGAGGGCAAAGGCGCGUCACUGCAGGCUUUACGGCGUUUUUUUUCUCGUGCCCAUCAUGUGGAGUCUUCGCUGCUUCCCUCUGUCCUUUCCGUCUGCCUGCUCCCCGGAUGUGGGCCUCCUCGACUUUUUCUGUUGUCUUUCAACUCACCCUCCCCUUCGGCGCAUCUUUCAAAGGCUGCCGAGGUCGAGGGGGGAGUUCCACGGUGGCUGCCCCGCACGUCUUUAUCCUCUCUCUUCAGCCUCCACUUCUGUCCCGAACCCUAUCGCUGUUUUUCCACGCUUCAUAGACACAAAGGCUGCGCACACACCCUUGCUGUAAAAGAUGUGUUGGAGGGCUUUCUAGUGCCGAUACCCCCCCCUUCCCCCAGAAAAAGUGAAUGGGAGGAGAGGGUUAGGGAUGCGUGGGUAGGGGGCUUCCGUUGUCAUAACGAGAUUGCCGAAUGUGGCGCAGCACCUCCCUGCGUGAGUGUCGGAGCUCGCCUGCGUGAGUGCACAUCGUCGCAUAGAUGGUCUGCUCGAACCUGCAGUGGGCGCCAAGCAGUUGAGCACGCGCUUUCUUCUUUUUGCUCACUUGUCUGUUGUCUGGUUCGUCUGUUGCGCAGGUCCGCCGGGUGCGCCGCAUUCUCUUCAAGCACCGCCAUCAUAGAAAUCAACAGGGCUGCUGCCCUUAUCUCUCUCUCUACAUCCAUAUAUCUCUUCAGGAUGCUACACGUUGCUCGUCUCAGUAGUGAACACACCAACUAAACCAGAGCAGGAGGGAGGGAUAGACCAGGACGGCAGGAUACGGGAGGCGGCUAGUAUGGCGCGAAUGGGGGGGCACGGCGGCUCGAAGCCCAUUCCUCCUGGGACAGCGUCGCCGGGUCAAAAGGAGAAGGGCAUGAGCUCACGACUAAGCGCUGCCACUUCACUUUUUACGCACUUCGCGCGCGGCUAGAGGGGAGGCGGGCACCUCUUGCACGCGUUGCGUUGUCAGCCAGCACGAAGUUGUUGCCUCCCUCUUCUUUUUCCAUGCUCCUCCUCACCCUUGUCCUCCCUUGUCGCUCUUGAGUUCGGCGCACACGAAAGUCGGAACAGUGCACGCACCGUGCUGUCGUCGGUGGUGCCAUGGGCUGCUUGCAGUGUGUGGUUUUAG